UACACCAGUGUGUGAUUCGUUCUAUCCUGGGAGGAAAUAAUCCAUUACCUUAGGGAAUGCAUACAAUAAGCAAAUAUGUGACUGAAGUUGACGGAGAAAAUGAUGAGUUAAUAUGAAGGUAGGAACAACUGAAGAUAAAGAAGCUCGCUCGAUUGAAAUGACCCUGCUCGGGUAAUAAUUUAAUGUUCUCUUGAUUGAUAUUAUCUUCUUUUGAUAUGAUAUUAGGGAGUAGUUUAUAGUCCUUAUUUGGUUUAACUAGGUUUUUGUUAUGAAGUUCAAACAUAUGGAUUGCUCGACUCCUUCUUUCUCGGUUAUUUCAAACUAGCUUGUGUUAACAUGGAUUUGGGUAGAGUAAAGGAACAUUCUCAGUGUAUGAUUGUCCUGGUGCAAGUCUGGGCAAAUAAGCUGGUGGAGAAAUAAUUGGGGUUAAAAAGGGACAGGUAUACCGAUCUUUUUACGGAUGCUAACAAAAGAUUUUAAAAAACUUGCGACGGGGUUUUCGAAAGAACAUCAAACCAAGUAGAUUUGAGGUUUAUUCCAGACUCCGUGGAAUUCAAGCAUCAACCACGUCACAUUGCAACAGAGGUGUUAUAGAAUCAUCAUGGAGAAUUACCUGACAGAAUUGCCACAUUUCUAGAUUGUCUCAACUCUCAAGGAUGUUGGCAUGCAUAUAGUAGCAUUUUCUCUCAGAGAUAGCAGCAAAUGUCCGUUUCGAACUUUCUUAGCAUCGUAGAAGAUUUGGAUAGAUUGUUCCGACAUGUACCAUGCUGACACAUUUAGAUCACAUAAUGCUUAGUAUCUGAGCAGAACAAACUGUAAUAGCAUUUAGGUCUUGACUUUGGGUCCUUGCAGACAUUUCUCUUUAAGCAACACAAUGUAAGAAAUGAUAUAGCUAUUCGUAUUUUACUUCAAGGAAAAGCAAUGCAGUUGCAGAGA